GACGAACGCUGGCGGCGUGCUUAACACAUGCAAGUCGAACGGAAAGGCCCUGCUUUUGUGGGGUUCUCGAGUGGCGAACGGGUGAGUAACACGUGAGUAACCUGCCCUUGACUGUGGGAUAACUUCAGGAAACUGGGGCUAAUACCGGAUAGGAGCUCCUGCUGCAUGGUGGGGUUGGAAAGUUUCGGCGGUUGGGGAUGGACUCGCGGCUUAUCAGCUGGUUGGUGGGGUAGUGGCUUACCAAGGCUUUGACGGGUAGCCGGCCUGGGAGGGUGACCGGCCACAUUGGGACUGAGAUACGGACCAGACUCCUACGGGAGGCAGCAGUGGGGAAUAUUGCACAAUGGGCGGAAGCCUGAUGCAGCAACGCCGCGUGCGUGAUGACGGCCUUCGGGUUGUAAACCGCUUUCGCCUGUGACGAAGCGUGAGUGACGGUAAUGGGUAAAGAAGCACCGGCUAACUACGUG
rnacentral:rRNA from 1 species